CGAACUAUAGAGUUUGAUCCUGGCUCAGAUUGAACGCUGGCGGAAUGCUUUACACAUGCAAGUCGAACGGUAGAGGGGGCAACCCCUUGAGAGUGGCGAACGGGUGAGUAAUAUAUCGGAACGUGCCCAGUCGUGGGGGAUAACGUAGCGAAAGUUACGCUAAUACCGCAUACGAUCUAAGGAUGAAAGCGGGGGACUCGCAAGAGCCUCGCGCGAUUGGAGCGGCCGAUAUCAGAUUAGGUAGUUGGUGGGGUAAAGGCUCACCAAGCCAACGAUCUGUAGCUGGUCUGAGAGGACGACCAGCCACACUGGAACUGAGACACGGUCCAGACUCCUACGGGAGGCAGCAGUGGGGAAUUUUGGACAAUGGACGCAAGUCUGAUCCAGCCAUUCCGCGUGCAGGAUGAAGGCCCUCGGGUUGUAAACUGCUUUUGUACGGAACGAAAAGGUUUCUAUUAAUACUAGGAGCUCAUGACGGUACCGUAAGAAUAAGCACCGGCUAACUACGUGCCAGCAGCCGCGGUAAUACGUAGGGUGCAAGCGUUAAUCGGAAUUACUGGGCGUAAAGCGUGCGCAGGCGGUUAUGUAAGACAGAGGUGAAAUCCCCGGGCUCAACCUGGGAACUGCCUUUGUGACUGCAUAGCUAGAGUACGGUAGAGGGGGAUGGAAUUCCGCGUGUAGCAGUGAAAUGCGUAGAUAUGCGGAGGAACACCGAUGGCGAAGGCAAUCCCCUGGACCUGUACUGACGCUCAUGCACGAAAGCGUGGGGAGCAAACAGGAUUAGAUACCCUGGUAGUCCACGCCCUAAACGAUGUCAACUGGUUGUUGGGUCUUCACUGACUC
rnacentral:rRNA from 1 species